rnacentral:rRNA from 1 species
GUUCAGAUAAGGGUUGAUAUGGGAUGGAAUGGUGUUCAGAGGUGGUGCAGAGCUGUGGGGUUCUUGCUGUUGAUGCCGGGCAAGGAGGGAGGUGUUUGCAAUCUGGCAAGGGGCCAGGUGUGAGUGGGGUAGAUCGUGGGAUUAUACAUCAUGUAGUAUUCUGACUUUGUGGAAGUCAGCUGGGAUGGUAAACUGGAUGUAUAGCUAUGUGCUAAGGCUAGUAAAGAUAGUAAUGUGAAGUGGCAUAGGGUAGUAUGAAGAUUGCACAAGUGAAAUGCAAUAGGUUCGGUAAAUAGGCGUGUCUGUGAGUACUUAGGUGCUAGUGGUGGUGCUAGAGUUGGACAAGUUUGUACGGGAGUAGUACUAUGUUGAAAGGGUGGCUAGGUGGGUGCAGAUGAGCAAGGAGUGGUGACAAUGGGUGUACGUUAAGGGGGAUAUUACAAGUGUAGUAGUGGGAGAAGGGCUCUAGUCUUAGCUUAUGUGUGACAGGCAGGCAUUUAAGGGUGGGUCGGGGCAAACUGGUACGUUGGGUAAGGGUGUGCAGUGCAAAGCGUUUCCAAGCAGAAUAAUGCAUAUACAGGCUAAGCAAGUUCAAGAGAGUACACAGAUGGCACAGGCAAGCUUGAGCUUGUGGACAAAACAGGCUAGAUCAACAUGCAAUGCAAUUCAGUUAAGCAAGAUCAAUUAGGCACACAGAUAAUGAGAGCAAGCAGAAGCAGAUCAGUAAGAGCAUGCUAAUGACACAGGGAGGAGCAAGCAAUACAGUGCGUGGCUGGGCUUACAAAUGCAGAAGCACACUAGGCAGACACGAUUCUAGGACACAUGAGAGUUUGCAGGCCUAAGUGGCAAUGACAAUGCAGGAAAGUCAAGCACAAGGAAAAGCGGGCAUUCCUACAGGGAUGGUUCAACAGUGUUCUACAGAGCCACUUUAGAUUGCGGUAUCACAUUCACUAGGCGAAUGCGCGCUAAACAAGUUAUACCUUAUGCUGCAUGAUGCCCUUUACAGGACGUGUGCAAGGAGAGUCGCGUGUGCGUUCCAUAGGCAAAGAUUGUAGACAGGUAUUUAGUGCAUGGUAGAGGGCAAGUGCAAAUAGGAAAGGUGGCCGGACAUGAAUGAUACUAUCUGCGGCUAAAUGAUGCAUCAGCAAAGGCAAGCAGAGUCGGACACCACAGUACCGGAUCAGCAAUUGCUGUAGGUGUAAUGGGGUCAGAGCUGGCGUGUUCGCAGUGGUAAAGUAUUUUAGGGUGCAGGUGCCAAGAUCCGGGGUGUGAAGCAUCAUUGAAGUAGGUUUCGGCUAAAGUGGUUUUCAAUAAAAUUACAGCUUACCCGGAUGGGUGGUAUCAGGCAUUGGACCAGGGGCACACGGACAGGGUUCCUGGCCCUGGCCUCUGUCAGCCCUGGACUGGCUCGGGACAGGAGUAGCCUUUGAAUUGUGCCUUGGGAAGUGGGCCGACUUCUCACAGCAAUUCUCCCUGGUAAUUGUCUUGUCUAUCCUCCCCCCUCAAGAAAUUGUGACAUAUUAAUAUUUCAAUUUUCUAUGUAAGGCACCAGGCUCUUAAGAGGGACCUCUGCAUGUAGUGUAUGCACUUGCUUAUUCUGGAAGCUCAAUCUGUUUUAAUUAAAACAAAGCAUCGCGAAGGCCCGCGGUGAGUGUUGACGCAAUGUGAUUUCUGCCCAGUGCUCUGAAUGUCAAAGUGAAGAAAUUCAAUGAAGCGCGGGUAAACGGCAGGAGUAACUAUGACUCUCUUAAGGUAGCCAAAUGCCUCGUCAUCUAAUUAGUGACGUGCAUGAAUGGAUGAACGAGAUUCCCACUGUCCCUACCUGCUAUCUAGCGAAACCACAGCCAAGGGAACGGGCUUGGCAGAAUCAGUGGAGAAAGAAGACCCCGCGGGGCGUGCCUCUAGUCUGGGACUGUGAAGAGACAUGAGAGGUGUAGGAUAAGUGGGAGGCCCUCGGGCCGCCGGUGAAAUACAACUACUCUUAUCGUUUUUUCACUUACCCGGUGAGGCGGGGGGGCGAGCCCCGUGGGGCUCUCACUUCUGGCUCCAAACGCUGGCGCCCGCCGGGCGCGACCCACUCUGGGGACAGUGGCAGGUGGGGAGUUUGACUGGGACGGUAUACCUGUCAAACGAUAACGCAGGUGUCCUAAGGCGAUCUCAGGGAGGACAGAAACCUCCCGCGGAGCAGAAGGGCAAAACUUGCUUGAUCUCGAUUUUCAGUAGGAAUACUGACCAUGAAAGCGGGCCCUCACAAUCCUUCUGACUUUUUGGGUUUCAAGCAGGAGGUGUCAGAAAAGUUACCACAGGGAUAACUUGCUUGUGGCGGCCUUCGAUGUCGGCUCUUCCUAUCAUUGUGAAGCAGAAUUCACCAAGAGUUGGAUUGUUCACCCACUAAUACGGAACGUGAGCUGGGUUUAGACUGUUGUGAGACAGGUUAGUUUUACCCUACUGAUGAUGUGUUGUUGCAAUAGUAAUCCUGCUCAGUAUGAGAGGAGCAGCAGGUUCAGACAUUUGGUAUAUGUGCUUGGCUGAGGAGCCAAUAGGGCGAAGCUACCAUCUGUGGGAUUAUGACUGAACGCCUCUAAGUCAGAAUCCCCCUAAACCGUAACGAUACCGCAGCGCUGUGGAGCCUCGGUUGGCCUAGGAUAGCCGGCAUCUGGGCCGGUGCGUAGAGCCGCUCGCCUCGGGACUCAAGUGUGGACAGAAGGGGGCCACCUCUCUCGCCCGUAGUGCACCGCAUGUUCGUAGGGAACCUGGUGCUAAAUCAUUCGUAGACGACCUGAUUCUGGGUCAGGGUUUCGUAAGUAGCAGAGCAGCUACAUUGAUGCGAUCUAUAGAAAGUCAUCCUC